AUUGAACGCUGGCGGCAUGCUUUACACAUGCAAGUCGAACGGUAACAGGGUGCUUGCACUGCUGACGAGUGGCGAACGGGUGAGUAAGGCGCCGGUACGUGCCGAGUAGUGGGGGAGAACGCAGCGAAUGUGGUGCUAAUACCGCAUACGUACUGAGGUAGAAAUUGGGGGUCCUUCGGGCCUCACGCUCUUCGAGCGGCCGAUGGCAGAUUAGGUAGUUGGUGGGAUAAAAGCUUACCAAGCCGACGAUCUGUAGCUGGUCUGUGGGGACGAUCAGCCACACUGGGACUGAGACACGGCCCAGACUCCUACGGGAGGCAGCAGUGGGGAAUUUUGGACAAUGGGCGCAAGCCUGAUCCAGCAAUGCCGCGUGCAGGAUGAAGGCCUUCGGGUUGUAAACUGCUUUUGUACGGAACGAAAAGCCCUGGAUUAAUACCCUGGGGUCAUGACGGUACCGUAAGAAUAAGCACCGGCUAACUACGUGCCAGCAGCCGCAGUAAAAC
rnacentral:rRNA from 1 species